GACGAACGCUGGCGGCGUGCCUAAUACAUGCAAGUAGAACGCAGUUGCGAACGGGUGAGUAACGCGUAGGUAACUGCCUCAUAGCGGGGGAUAACUAUUGGAAACGAUAGCUAAUACCGCAUACUGUGAGAUGGACCUGCGUUGUAUUUGCUAGUGGGUGAGGUAAAGGCUCACCAAGGCGACGAUACAUAGCCGUCCUGAGAGGGUUAGUGGACACCCCUGGACUGGGACUCGGCCCAGACUCCUACUGGCAGCAGCAGUAGGGAAUUUGCGGAAAGGGACGGAAGUCUGACCGAGCACCGGCGGAGGAGUGAAGAAGGUUAUCGGAUCGUAAGGCUAUGUUGUUAGAGAAGCGGUAACUAACCAGAAAGGGACGGCUAACUACGUGCCAGCAGCCGCGGUAAUAC
rnacentral:rRNA from 1 species